UUUCACAACGUAGCCUCAUGUGACCUCACCCCAUAGACUUUCCUGGUUCAGACUCUGCAAUCAGACUUUGAGCAAGGUUUCUGCAAACACUGCUCCAGAGCCUACAGGUGGUCACUUUGCUGCAGGGAGACUAUUCACACAGUGAGAUGCUAUUCAGGGUGACUACGGAUGGCAGAACUACCACUAAAAAGAAGAGCUGACUGAGCCUGGCACAACUGGUCUGCAAAGCUGAAAGAGGCCUCUUCCACUGGGAUGCCCACAUGUUUGUGCAUGCCCACACUCACAAAACAGAGAAGUGGUCAAAAUGGAGAAGAAGAUGACAAUAAUCUGUGGAGGCAGUUCAGAGGUUUCAUAGCAGUCCCUGAACAAAGACAGCAAGGUAGAGCCAUGCCAAGUCAAGACACCUAAAUUUUUCUACAAGCAAUCUUACCUUAACAUACCAGCACUUCUGUUUUGACCUGCUGGAGUAUGUAUAAUUGAUGUAGGGGCUGGGAAAGUCAUCUGACAUCAGCAUAAGUAAAAUGUUAAGCUCUCUCA